AUUGAACGCUGGCGGCAUGCUUUACACAUGAAAGUCGAACGGUAACAGGCCGCAAGGUGCUGACGAGUGGCGAACGGGUGAGUAAUGCAUCGGAACGUGCCCAGUCGUGGGGGAUAACUACUCGAAAGAGUAGCUAAUACCGCAUACGAUCUAUGGAUGAAAGCGGGGGACCGUAGGGCCUCGCGCGAUUGGAGCGGCCGAUGUCAGAUUAGGUAGUUGGUGGGGUAAAGGCUCACCAAGCCAACGAUCUGUAGCUGGUCUGAGAGGACGACCAGCCACACUGGGACUGAGACACGGCCCAGACUCCUACGGGAGGCAGCAGUGGGGAAUUUUGGACAAUGGGCGCAAGCCUGAUCCAGCAAUGCCGCGUGCAGGAAGAAGGCCUUCGGGUUGUAAACUGCUUUUGUACGGAACGAAACGGCUCUGGUUAAUACCCGGGGCUAAUGACGGUACCGUAAGAAUAAGCACCGGCUAACUACGUG
rnacentral:rRNA from 1 species